ACAAUAAUUACAAAGCGGUUAAAAAACUCAUCUUUGUUUUGUUGAUAUUUUUAUAGAUAGAAAUUCUUUAGUGAAAAAGGAUAAAACAUGGAUAACCGCAAUGUUAUAAAUGAAGAUUAUAUAAAACUAUUUAAUAAUAUUAUAAAUAGAGAAUGCUUCGAAGAUAAAGCACUCGGUAAGUGAAAAACAAAGUUUAUGUAUUAACCGACCGAAUGGAGGUUAAUACUUUUGAGUUUGAGUUUGACAAUUGUUAUUGACAUUUCCAAUUCCAAUUCCAUAGUCGUUUAAUCUCUCAAAAAUAUAAAUAUUAUUUCUGUUAUUUACAUUAAAAAAUACAUUUUUCUAAGUUAAAAUGAACAAGUUAACAUCAUAUACAAUUAAAGAGAUACAUAAAGCGUUCCAAGAUAAGUUGUUGACACCAACAAGUUUCGUAGAUUUGUGCAUUCAGAGGGCAAAACAAACAAGUGAAUUAAAUGCAUUUAUAACUCUGACUGAGGAAAUAGCUGAAAACCAUGCUAUUGAGAGUGAAAAACGUACUUAUAUCGAUAAGAAAAUCAGGCCUUUAGAAGGUAUAACCAUUGCUGUUAAGGAUAAUUUUUGCACGAAAAACGUACGCACAACCUGCGCUUCAGACAUGUUAAAAAACUUCGUGCCGACCUACGAUGCGACUGUGUACUCGCGACUUGUCAAUUCAGGCGCUUGUCUUGUCGGCAAAUCGAAUUUGGACGAGUUUGCCAUGGGUUCGGGUACUGUGGAUUCUAUAUUUGGUCCAACCCGCAACCCAUGGUCUUACGGUGAAGAUUGGAAGAUAUCCGGAGGCAGCUCUGGAGGUAGUGCAGUUGCUGUGAGCUCUGGAUCAUCUGUAGCCGCCAUCGGCUCUGAUACCGGCGGAUCAACACGAAUUCCAGCUGCUUUGUGUGGAGUUAUUGGUCUAAAACCAACUUAUGGACUGGUUUCUCGCUACGGACUGAUACCUUUAGUAAAUUCUAUGGAUGUACCUGGCAUAUUAGCGAGAACUAUUGACGAUGCCACAAAAAUACUUAAUUGUAUAGCUGGACCCGAUGUGUUGGAUUCUACAACAAUAAAAAAGCCAUUCGAACCAGUUGUAAUAAAUAAAAACAUUGAUUUAUCACAAAUUAGAAUUGGUAUACCAAAGGAAUACUACUGUGAUGGUAUGAGUGCAGACAUAAUUGAUCUUUGGCGACGGGUCACAGAUCUGUUAGAAAAUGAAAAAUGUCAGAUACAAACUGUUUCACUGCCUCACACAUCUGUGUCCAUUGCUGUGUAUUCAAUUUUAAAUCAGUGUGAGAUAGCUAGCAACAUGGCAAGAUAUGACGGAUUAGAAUUUGGCCUCCGAACUUCAGAUGAUUAUUCUACAGAGGAAUUAUAUGCCUCAACACGUUGUGAAGGUUUCAACAGCAUAGUAAGGUCAAGAAUUUUCGCCGGCAACUAUUUUUUGUUAACUAGAAACUAUGAAAAAUACUUUCUCAAAGCUCUCAAGCUAAGGCGACUAAUAUCAGAUGAUUUUAAAAAAGUUUACAGUGGGCCAAAUUCUGUAGAUUUACUAUUGACACCAACUACUUUGACUGAUGCUCCGUCAUACAAAGAUUUCAAGUCUAAACACAAUAGGGAUCAGUGUGCAUUGCAAGAUUAUUGUACACAACCAGCUAAUAUGGCUGGGAUUCCUGCUGUGUCGAUACCUAUUGCAUUAUCUAGUAAUAAAUUGCCAUUAUCCUUGCAAUUGAUGGGGCCAGCACUAUCAGAAGAAAUAUUAUUGAAUGUAGCAAAAAGGAUUGAAGAUUUAGUCCAAUUCCCUGGAUUGAAUGUUGACUAAUAUUUUAGCUAGCUGUGGAGUCACCCUAACGUCGGAAACGCUACAGAAAUUAAAUAUAAACCUGGAAAGACUACCACGUCAGAGUCAAACUAUACUAGACAAUGUGGCGGACAGUCAAAACGAGUUACAACUCCAAUCAUUAUACCCCAUAGCUAUAUCGCUAUACAAAUCGAGGGAAUUGAGCGAAAAACUCUACCACAUAUAUGAAUUACUUGAAUUGAAUCUUAAAAACAUCGAGUUGCAAAUAAAAAUCCAUCGUAAUAAUCGAUUUUUAGCCAAGAUGAAAAAAGAUUUGGAGAAUUCAAGGCAGAGUUUGUCCAAUCAGGAUCCAAAUCCUGAAAAUAUAAAUAAGUAUAUCAGACAGUUAAAACAAAAGUUGUCCGUCUAUGAGGAUAACUAUGAGCGGGUUAAGACCAAAUACUCAUCUCUUAACAUACCAGAAUCGAUUCUACCAAAAUCUCUCAUUACGCAAGUAGCAUCGCUUCAAACGCUUAGCGAAGAAGCGAUGUCAUUCAAAGCGAAGGCCGACGAUGUCAAGUUUAUGAACGAAACUAAAGCGAUAUUGAGCAAACUACGCAGAUAAAAUUGAUGUUUUUGUGACAAGUUAUCCUUUAACUGCGAUCCCAGUCUAAGAUGGUAGUGGGCUAAAUUGAAAGAGGUACAAGUUUAUUCUAAACGAAAUCUUUGGCUUGUGUGAGGCUUCGGCCGUGGCUAGUUACCACCCUACCGGCGGCCGGGGCAAAGAAGUAUUACCAAGAGAUUUAGCGUUCCGGUGCGAUGUGUAGAAACCGAAAUGGGUGUGGAUUUUUAUCCUACGCUUAACAAGUUAGCCCGCUUUUAUCUUGGAUUCCAUCAUCACUUACCAUCAAGUAAGAUUGCAGUCAAGGGCUAACUUGUAAAUAAUAAUAAUCUUUUUAACAUAAAAAUUAAACAUACUUCAAAGACGUGUUACAGUUAUUUUGAUUUUCAUGGGACAAUUUGAAAGUAUUCUCUUUCAAACAAAAAAAAAAUUU